rnacentral:rRNA from 1 species
UACGGGGGGGGUAAGCGUUGUUCGGAAUUACUGGGCGUAAAGGGCUCGUAGGCGGCCAACUAAGUCAAACGUGAAAUCCCUCGGCUUAACCGGGGAACUGCGCUUGAUACUGGAUGGCUUGAGAUUGGGAGAGGGAUGCGGAAUUCCAGGUGUAGCGGUGAAAUGCGUAGAUAUCUGGAGGAACACCGGUGGCGAAGGCGGCAUCCUGGACCGGCAUUGACGCUGAGGCGCGAAAGCCAGGGGAGCAAACGGG